AUGGUGCUCUCAGGAGCUGGAGUGGGGUCAGCUGAAGAUGGGCAGCUGAGACUUUCAUUCAAUUCACAGUUCUUGUUUUGUGUGCCAUCCUGCAGAACCAUUAUUUUCAUCUGGUAUCAUCCUUUUCCUGACCCUUCCUGGGAAAAAGAUUGGGGGGUGGAAGUGCUGGGCAUGCAUAUAACCAGUGUCAUCAAAAUGUUAAUUUGCUGGUUUUUGUGGAAGCUGAUGUUUUUUUAAAUAUAUGUAUAAACAAAAAGUAAAUAAGGAUAGUUUCUAAUAUUUGAAGACAAUUCUAAGUAGAAAUUUCUCCAUAAUGAGCAAUAUCUAUCUUUGCUAGCUAUGGGCUACUAUUAGAAACAGAUCUAUUCAAAGCCUCAGUAUAUUUGCUAUGAAUAUAUUUUUAAUGUAUUUCUCUAACAUGAAAGAGCUGGCCAGAGCUAAAACAUUUUUUUGUAUGUCAUGCUUUGCUUUUUAUGGUGUUUUAUGUUACAACCUAAUUAGUAUCUUACAGUGCCCUUACAUGUACUUAGGGUGUAGGGUUUCACUAAAUACACUGAACGUUUUAUUUUGGGGGACCUCCGUGACACACUCUAAGCAGUUUUAAGCAGGCUAAGAAUAUGUUUCCAGUCAAUCAAGCCUCUAGAGAUAGGUUAUCCACCUCUGGCUAAUGCACUGCUAUAAAACCUUCACCAUUUCUGACUGCACGAUACAGUCUGUUAUUAAACCCCUAACCGUGCACGGCUGCAGGAUUCAGAAGAGGGGAGGGAGACAAUUAUUUCCAGUAUUUCAUAAAGCCUACUUUAACAAAUUACAUGAAGAUUAACUAAUAGCAGCCUCAGCGCUGGAUGGCUAGCCAAAUUAGGUAUGACUUAGCAGACCAGUGCUUCAUCGACCGCUCCUCCUGGCCUGCCUUCGCAGAGGAGGUCUUCGCUGGCAGCUGGUUCAAUAGAUGGUGAGCCAGGUCUGAUGCUUGGUCUGCACCGCAACAAUGGAGAAACGAAGCACGCUGUGCUUUGAGCUCAUCUGAGAACACAUUUGGAAACCCAGAGAGGUCUCCAGCACUGGCGGUUUUCCUGCUGAGGAUUAAAUAUGCCUGCACAAAGCCAGCGUGUCCACAAAUCAAAAGCGGCGUGCGAGGAGAAGGGGCAAGCAGUGGCAAGCGCGGUCAGGAGUGCUGUGAUGGAUUAGGGAGAGGGUCCUGUGAAUGCUUCCUUUUCUGACGGGGAGAUAAUCUGUCAAUCCCAAAAGGACAAUCCUGUCAGAGUACACCUCGCUGGGGUCCCCGGCAUCCUCUUCGGUUUGUUAUCUGUCCUGUGGAGGGCACCAGCACUCAGUGCCACGUCGCUACCCCAGGCAUUUGGUGGGAAGAUGAGGGGGCGUUUGGGCACAUCUGGGGAAGGGCCUGUCUUUGAUCCUCCCCGCAAAAUGGCUGUGUUAUCUUUCAGCUCUGGAGAGGUGGGGAGAAGUCAGCCUGGGAUGUUUUGAAAAGCCAAAGACCACUCAGUAAUAAAAUGCAAGAUAUAUUGGUCA
rnacentral:lncRNA from 1 species